GGCCGAACGGUGUUGUGGUAUGAUUCUCACUUUGAUUGCGAGAAAUCCCGGUUUCAAUCCCCGGUUUGGCCC